rnacentral:rRNA from 2 species
CUAUACAUGCAGUCGAACGCACUCUCGUUUAGAUUGAAGGAGCUUGCUCCUGAUUGAUAAACAUUUGAGUGAGUGGCGGACGGGUGAGUAACACGUGGGUAACCUGCCCUAAAGUGGGGGAUAACAUUUGGAAACAGAUGCUAAUACCGCAUAAAACCUAACACCGCAUGGUGUAGGGUUGAAAGAUGGUUUCGGCUAUCACUUUAGGAUGGACCCGCGGUGCAUUAGUUAGUUGGUGAGGUAAAGGCUCACCAAGACCGUGAUGCAUAGCCGACCUGAGAGGGUAAUCGGCCACACUGGGACUGAGACACGGCCCAGACUCCUACGGGAGGCAGCAGUAGGGAAUCUUCCACAAUGGACGAAAGUCUGAUGGAGCAACGCCGCGUGAGUGAAGAAGGUUUUCGGAUCGUAAAACUCUGUUGUUGGAGAAGAAUGUAUCUGAUAGUAACUGAUCAGGUAGUGACGGUAUCCAACCAGAAAGCCACGGCUAACUACGUGCCAGCAGCCGCGGUAAUACGUAGGUGGCAAGCGUUGUCCGGAUUUAUUGGGCGUAAAGCGAGCGCAGGCGGUUUCUUAAGUCUGAUGUGAAAGCCUUCGGCUCAACCGAAGAAGUGCAUCGGAAACUGGGAAACUUGAGUGCAGAAGAGGACAGUGGAACUCCAUGUGUAGCGGUGAAAUGCGUAGAUAUAUGGAAGAACACCAGUGGCGAAGGCGGCUGUCUGGUCUGUAACUGACGCUGAGGCUCGAAAGCAUGGGUAGCAAACAGGAUUAGAUACCCUGGUAGUCCAUGCCGUAAACGAUGAGUGCUAGGUGUUGGAGGGUUUCCGCCCUUCAGUGCCGCAGCUAACGCAUUAAGCACUCCGCCUGGGGAGUACGACCGCAAGGUUGAAACUCAAAGGAUUUGACGGGGGCCCGCACAAGCGGUGGAGCAUGUGGUUUAAUUCGAAGCAACGCGAGAACC